rnacentral:rRNA from 1 species
AGUGGCGGACGGGUGAGUAACGCGUGGGUAACCUGCCUUGUACUGGGGGACAACAGUUAGAAAUGACUGCUAAUACCGCAUAAGCGCACAGUACCGCAUGAUACGGUGUGAAAAACUCCGGUGGUACAAGAUGGACCCGCGUCUGAUUAGCUAGUUGGUAAGGUAACGGCUUACCAAGGCGACGAUCAGUAGCCGACCUGAGAGGGUGACCGGCCACAUUGGGACUGAGACACGGCCCAA